rnacentral:rRNA from 1 species
AGGUUGACCUCGGAUCAGGUAGGGAUACCCGCUGAACUUAAGCAUAUCAAUAAGCGGAGGAAAAGAAACCAACCGGGAUUGCCCUAGUAACGGCGAGUGAAGCGGCAAGAGCUCAAAUUUGAAAGCUGGCCCCUGCGGGGUCCGCAUUGUAAUUUGCAGAGGAUGCUUCGGGAGCGGUCCCCAUCUAAGUGCCCUGGAACGGGCCGUCAUAGAGGGUGAGAAUCCCGUAUGGGAUGGGGUGCCCGCGCCCGUGUGAAGCUCCUUCGACGAGUCGAGUUGUUUGGGAAUGCAGCUCUAAUUGGGUGGUAAAUUUCAUCUAAAGCUAAAUAUUGGCCGGAGACCGAUAGCGCACAAGUAGAGUGAUCGAAAGAUGAAAAGCACUUUGAAAAGAGAGUUAAACAGCACGUGAAAUUGUUGAAAGGGAAGCGCUUGCGAUCAGACUCGCUCCCGGGGUUCAGCCGGCAUUCGUGCCGGUGUACUUCCCCGGGGGCGGGCCAGCGUCGGUUUGGGCGGCCGGUCAAAGGCCCCUGGAAUGUAACGCCUCUCGGGGCGUCUUAUAGCCAGGGGUGCCAUGCGGCCUGCCCGGACCGAGGAACGCGCUUCGGCUCGGACGCUGGCAUAAUGGUCGUAAGCGACC